rnacentral:rRNA from 1 species
GACGAACGCUGGCGGCGUGCUUAACACGUGCAAGUCGAACGGUGAAGCGCCUUCCUUUUUGGUGGGUGUGGAUGAGUGGCGAACGGGUGAGUAACACGUGAGUAACCUGCCCCCUUCUUCUGGAUAACCGCAUGAAAGUGUGGCUAAUACGGGAUAUUCUGGGUCUGUCGCAUGAUGGGUCUGGGAAAGAUAUUGUUUCGGUGGGGGAUGGGCUCGCGGCCUAUCAGCUUGUUGGUGGGGUGAUGGCCUACCAAGGCGGUGACGGGUAGCCGGCCUGAGAGGGUGGACGGUCACACUGGGACUGAGACACGGCCCAGACUCCUACGGGAGGCAGCAGUGGGGAAUAGUGCACAAUGGGCGCAAGCCUGAUGCAGCGACGCCGCGUGAGGGAUGGAGGCCUUCGGGUUGUGAACCUCUUUCGCCAGUGAAGCAGGCCUGCCUCGUUUGUGGGUGGGUUGACGGUAGCUGGAGAAGAAGCGCCGGCUAACUACGUG